UUCUGGGCAGCCAAGAAUUGCUCCAUCAGAGCGCUCAAUCUGGCGACCUCUUUUUUCAGCUCUCGAUUCUCUUGUUCAAGUUGAUCCAUCACUCUUGCAGAAUUAGCUCGGGUGUAGUACUGAUGAGUCAGCUUGUCUUCAAAAUAAAUGAAGAUCACAGAGUUAGGCCACAGACAAGAAGACCAGAACAACACCUGCUUAUGCGAAAUGAUGCAUGCGAUGCUCGUGCAUAUGCUUUGUUUUU
rnacentral:lncRNA from 1 species